UUAUGAUUCAACUCAAACCCUAACUAUUAGCCACCGUGAUCCUCAUUCUUCUUCGUUGUUCUAUGAUUCAAAGUCUACAAUUGAUCGGACUGAAGUUUCAGAUACUGCUAUAUCUUUUGAGUUCUUUGGAGGUUGCUUCACUUUCAGGGAAGGACAAGAAGCUUUUUGUUGAGUAAUACAUGGCUCUUAAUGAUGAUGGGUGCAGUGGCAACUGCUGCUGAUUUCAUCAGGUGCUGAUUUCAUCAGGUUUGAUGAAGUCGAUUACAGGUAUGCAUGAAG
rnacentral:lncRNA from 1 species